rnacentral:rRNA from 1 species
UGCAGUCGAGCGGCAGCGGGAAAGUAGCUUGCUACUUUUGCCGGCGAGCGGCGGACGGGUGAGUAAUGCCUGGGAAAUUGCCCAGUCGAGGGGGAUAACAGUUGGAAACGACUGCUAAUACCGCAUACGCCCUACGGGGGAAAGCAGGGGACCUUCGGGCCUUGCGCGAUUGGAUAUGCCCAGGUGGGAUUAGCUAGUUGGUGAGGUAAUGGCUCACCAAGGCGACGAUCCCUAGCUGGUCUGAGAGGAUGAUCAGCCACACUGGAACUGAGACACGGUCCAGACUCCUACGGGAGGCAGCAGUGGGGAAUAUUGCACAGUGGGGGAAACCCUGAUGCAGCCAUGCCGCGUGUGUGAAGAAGGCCUUCGGGUUGUAAAGCACUUUCAGCGAGGAGGAAAGGUCAGUAGCUAAUAUCUGCUGGCUGUGACGUUACUCGCAGAAGAAGCACCGGCUAACUCCGUGCCAGCA